CAAUAGCGUAUAUUAAAGUUGUUGCGGUUAAAAAGCUCGUAGUUGGAUUUCUGCUGAGAACGACCGGUCCGCCCUCUGGGUGUGUAUCUGGCUCUUUCUUGGCAUCUUCUUGGUGAACGUUGCUGCACUUGACUGUGUGGAGCGCUACCCAGGACUUUUACUUUGAGGAAAUUAGAGUGUUUCAAGCAGGCAUACGCCUUGAAUACAUUAGCAUGGAAUAAUAAGAUAGGACCUCGGUUCUAUUUUGUUGGUUUCUAGAGCUGAGGUAAUGAUUAAUAGGGAUAGUUGGGGGCAUUCGUAUUCCGUUGUCAGAGGUGAAAUUCUUGGAUUUACGGAAGACGAACAUCUGCGAAAGCAUUUGCCAAGGAUGUUUUCAUUGA
rnacentral:rRNA from 1 species